UACGUAGGGACCAAGCGUUGUUCGGAUUUACUGGGCGUAAAGGGCGCGUAGGCGGCAUGACAAGUCACUUGUGAAAUCUCUGGGCUUAACCCAGAACGGCCAAGUGAUACUGUCGCGCUAGAGUGCGGAAGGGGCAAUCGGAAUUCUUGGUGUAGCGGUGAAAUGCGUAGAUAUCAAGAGGAACACCUGAGGCGAAGGCGGGUUGCUAGGCUGACACUGACGCUGACAGCGCGAAAGCCAGGGGAGCAAACGGG
rnacentral:rRNA from 1 species